ensembl:misc_RNA Gm55477 predicted gene, 22842
CGAAGUGGAGGAGAAAUUACAGCCAUUUACCAGCUGACAUUAUAGGUGUAGACACAUGUCCGCAGUGGCAACAUUUCCAUCAAAAUUAUUUAGAGAUUUUCCUUGAAUUUCA